rnacentral:rRNA from 1 species
CUAUGCGCCUUGCCAGCCCGCUCAGUCAGAGUUUGAUCCUGGCUCAGGACGAACGCUGGCGGCGUGCUUAACACAUGCAAGUCGAACGGAAAGGCCCUGCUUGCAGGGUACUCGAGUGGCGAACGGGUGAGUAACACGUGGGUGAUCUGCCCUGCACUUCGGGAUAAGCUUGGGAAACUGGGUCUAAUACCGGAUAGGAGCCAUCUUUAGUGUGGUGGUUGGAAAGUUUUUUCGGUGUAGGAUGAGCUCGCGGCCUAUCAGCUUGUUGUGGGUAAUGGCCUACCAAGGCGGCGACGGGUAGCCGGCCUGAGAGGGUGUACGGCCACAUUGGGACUGAGAUACGGCCCAG